rnacentral:rRNA from 1 species
CACUCCUACGGGAGGCAGCAGUGGGGAAUAUUGGACAAUGGGCGCAAGCCUGAUCCAGCCAUGCCGCGUGAGUGAUGAAGGCCCUAGGGUUGUAAAGCUCUUUCACCGGUGAAGAUAAUGACGGUAACCGGAGAAGAAGCCCCGGCUAACUUCGUGCCAGCAGCCGCGGUAAUACGAAGGGGGCUAGCGUUGUUCGGAUUUACUGGGCGUAAAGCGCACGUAGGCGGACUAUUAAGUCAGGGGUGAAAUCCCGGGGCUCAACCCCGGAACUGCCUUUGAUACUGGUAGUCUUGAGUUCGAGAGAGGUGAGUGGAAUUCCGAGUGUAGAGGUGAAAUUCGUAGAUAUUCGGAGGAACACCAGUGGCGAAGGCGGCUCACUGGCUCGAUACUGACGCUGAGGUGCGAAAGCGUGGGGAGCAAACAGGAUUAGAAACCCGAGUAGUCCCAU